rnacentral:rRNA from 1 species
GACGAACGCUGGCGGCGUGCCUAAUACAUGCAAGUCGAGCGAAGUUUUUCUGGUGCUUGCACUAGAAAAACUUAGCGGCGAACGGGUGAGUAACACGUAAAGAACCUGCCUCAUAGACUGGGACAACCAUUGGAAACGAUAGCUAAUACCGGAUAACAGUAUUUCUCGCAUGAGAGAUAUUUAAAAGUUGGUUAUGCUAACACUAUGAGAUGGCCUUGCGGUGCAUUUGCUAGUUGGUGGGGUAAAGGCCCACCAAGGCGACGAUGCAUAGCCGACCUGAGAGGGUGAUCGGCCACACUGGGACUGAGACACGGCCCAGACUCCUACGGGAGGCAGCAGUAGGGAAUCUUCCGCAAUGGGCGAAAGCCUGACGGAGCAACGCCGCGUGAGUGAAGAAGGAUUUCGGUUCGUAAAGCUCUGUUGUUAGGGAAGAAUGGAUAUGUAGUAACUAUACAUGUAAGAGACGGUACCUAACCAGAAAGCCACGGCUAACUACGUG